rnacentral:rRNA from 1 species
CAAAACCAUUCACUUCCAUGGAUUAGUCGUAUCCCGAUAGCAGUCANNNUGGUUGAUCCUGCCAGACCUGACUGCUAUCGGGAUACGACUAAUCCAUGCAAGUCGAAUGGUUUUCGCAACCAUGGCAHHMUGCUCAGUAACACGUAGAUAACCUACCCUCAGGUGGGGGAUAAUCCCGGGAAACUGGGCAUAAUCCCCUAUAGAUAAUCUGCGCUGGAAUGMCWCGUUAUUCAAACCUCCGGGGCCUGAGGACGGGUCUGCGGCGGAUUAUGGUAGUAGGUGGGGUAACGGCCCACCUAGCCUGUGAUCGUACCGGACAUGAAAGUGUGUGCCGGGAGAUGGCCACUGAGACAAGGGGCCAGGCUACGGGGUGCAGCAGGAGCGAAAACUCUGCAAUGCUAACGCGUGACAGGGGAAUCCCGAGUGCGUCCUUAGCCGGACGCUUUUCUCGAGU